rnacentral:rRNA from 1 species
UACAGAGGGUGCAAGCGUUAUCCGGAUUCACUGGGUUUAAAGGGUGCGUAGGUGGGCUAGUAAGUCCGUGGUGAAAUCUCCAAGAUUAACUUGGAAACUGCCGUGGAUACUAUUAGUCUUGAAUAUUGUGGAGGUAAGCGGAAUAUGUCAUGUAGCGGUGAAAUGCUUAGAUAUGACAUAGAACACCGAUAGCGAAGGCAGCUUGCUACACAAUCAUUGACACUGAGGCACGAAAGCGUGGGGAUCAAACAGG